CCUACGGGGGGCAGCAGUGAGGAAUAUUGGUCAAUGGACGAGAGUCUGAACCAGCCAAGUAGCGUGAAGGAUGACUGCCCUAUGGGUUGUAAACUUCUUUUAUAUGGGAAUAAAAUGUUCCACGUGUGGGAUUUUGUAUGUACCAUAUGAAUAAGGAUCGGCUAACUCCGUGCCAGCAGCCGCGGUAAUACGGAGGAUCCGAGCGUUAUCCGGAUUUAUUGGGUUUAAAGGGAGCGUAGGUGGAUUGUUAAGUCAGUUGUGAAAGUUUGCGGCUCAACCGUAAAAUUGCAGUUGAAACUGGCAGUCUUGAGUACAGUAGAGGUGGGCGGAAUUCGUGGUGGAGCGGUGAAAUGCUUAGAUAUCACGAAGAACUCCGAUUGCGAAGGCAGUUCACUGGACUGCAACUGACACUGAGGCUCGAAAGUGGGGGUAUCAAACAGGAUUAGAUACCCCAGUAGUC
rnacentral:rRNA from 1 species